rnacentral:rRNA from 1 species
ACAAUGGACGAAAGUCUGAUGGAGCAACGCCGCGUGAACGAUGAAGGCUUUCGGGUCGUAAAGUUCUGUUGUAAGGGAAGAACAAGUGCCGCAGGCAAUGGCGGCACCUUGACGGUACCUUGCGAGAAAGCCACGGCUAACUACGUGCCAGCAGCCGCGGUAAUACGUAGGUGGCAAGCGUUGUCCGGAAUUAUUGGGCGUAAAGCGCGCGCAGGCGGCCUCUUAAGUCUGAUGUGAAAGCCCCCGGCUCAACCGGGGAGGGCCAUUGGAAACUGGGAGGCUUGAGUAUAGGAGAGAAGAGUGGAAUUCCACGUGUAGCGGUGAAAUGCGUAGAGAUGUGGAGGAACACCAGUGGCGAAGGCGACUCUUUGGCCUAUAACUGACGCUGAGGCGCGAAAGCGUGGGGAGCAAACAGGAUUAGAUACCCUGGUAGUCCACGCCGUAAACGAUGAGUGCUAGGUGUUGGAGGGU